AUGGAGCGCCAACUGGCCUCUAUUAGGGCUUCCCCGCCUUCCCCCGCAUCUCUUUCUGAAGAAAAGCACAUUGAGAGUCAGCUUUGUGAAUUGUUUGAGCGUGAGGAAAUCAUGGAAUGUCAACGUUCACGGGUGGAUUGGCUAAAAGCAGGUGACCAUAACACUGAGUUCUUCCAAGCUAGGGCGUCGGCUAGACGGAGAAGAAACAGAAUCCACUCGCUUCUCCGGGAGGAUGGUUCAACUUGUAAUUCUCAAGGGCAGAUCAAGGGCUUAGUGCAGUCCUACUAUGAAAAGCUUUUCACGUCGGAACCUCGCCCGGCUGCUGAUGAGGUCUUAGAAGCUAUUCCUCACAAGGUGACUGCUGAGAUGAAUGCUGAUCUUUGUAAGCCUUAUUCGGAUGAGGAGAUCAAGGCGGCGUUGUUUCAGAUGGGACUAACUAAGGCCCCCGGUCCUGACGGGUUCCCUGCUCUGUUUUACCAGCACCAUUGGAAUUUCUUGGGGGAGGACAUAUGUCAGGCUAGCUAUUCGAGGUUUCUUGCAGGGGAGACCGAUUCCAGAGGGUUUUUGCGAUUCAGUUAUAGUUCUUAUACCAAAGACGGUUAG
rnacentral:rRNA from 1 species